rnacentral:rRNA from 1 species
AUUGAACGCUGGCGGCAUGCUUUACACAUGCAAGUCGAACGGCAGCACGGGCUUCGGCCUGGUGGCGAGUGGCGAACGGGUGAGUAAUGCAUCGGAACGUGCCCAUUUGUGGGGGAUAACUACGCGAAAGCGUGGCUAAUACCGCAUACGCCCUGAGGGGGAAAGCGGGGGAUUCUUCAGAACCUCGCGCAAUUGGAGCGGCCGAUGUCAGAUUAGCUUGUUGGUGGGGUAAAAGCCUACCAAGGCGACGAUCUGUAGCUGGUCUGAGAGGACGACCAGCCACACUGGGACUGAGACACGGCCCAGACUCCUACGGGAGGCAGCAGUGGGGAAUUUUGGACAAUGGGCGCAAGCCUGAUCCAGCCAUGCCGCGUGCGGGAAGAAGGCCUCGGUUGUAA